rnacentral:rRNA from 1 species
CUACGGGUUGCAGCAGUGAGGAAUAUUGCACAAUGGAGGAAACUCUGAUGCAGCAAUACCGCGUGAACGAAGAAGGUCUAUGGAUUGUAAAGUUCUGUCAAGAGGGAAGAACGAGUUGGUUAGUAGCCGACUGUGACGGUACCUCUAAAGGAAGCACCGGCUAACUCCGUGCCAGCAGCCGCGGUAAUACGGGGGGUGCAAGCGUUGUCCGGAAUCAUUGGGCGUAAAGGGUUCGUAGGUGGAAUUGUAAGUCUGGUGUGAAAGCCCACAGCUUAACUGUGGAACUGCACUGGAUACUGCUUUUCUUGAAUUACAGAGGGGGUUGUGGAAUUUCUGGUGUAGAGGUGAAAUUUGUAGAGAUCAGAAAGAACACCGGUGGCGAAGGCGACAACCUGGCUGUUAAUUGACACUGAGGAACGAAAGCGUGGGUAGCAAACAGGAUUAGAUGCCCCGGUAGUC